GUUUGAUAAGCUGACAUGGGAC
rnacentral:miRNA from 1 species